rnacentral:rRNA from 1 species
GUCUGCAUGGAGCCGGCCUUGAAAUACCACCCUUUAAUGUUUGAUGUUCUAACGUGGACCCGUAAUCCGGGUUGCGGACAGUGUCUGGUGGGUAGUUUGACUGGGGCGGUCUCCUCCUAAAGAGUAACGGAGGAGCACGAAGGUUGGCUAAUCCUGGUCGGACAUCAGGAGGUUAGUGCAAUGGCAUAAGCCAGCUUGACUGCGAGCGUGACGGCGCGAGCAGGUGCGAAAGCAGGUCAUAGUGAUCCGGUGGUUCUGAAUGGAAGGGCCAUCGCUCAACGGAUAAAAGGUACUCCGGGGAUAACAGGCUGAUACCGCCCAAGAGUUCAUAUCGACGGCGGUGUUUGGCACCUCGAUGUCGGCUCAUCACAUCCUGGGGCUGAAGUAGGUCCCAAGGGUAUGGCUGUUCGCCAUUUAAAGUGGUACGCGAGCUGGGUUUAGAACGUCGUGAGACAGUUCGGUCCCUAUCUGCCGUGGGCGCUGGAGAACUGAGGGGGGCUGCUCCUAGUACGAGAGGACCGGAGUGGACGCAUCACUGGUGUUCGGGUUGUCAUGCCAAUGGCACUGCCCGGUAGCUAAAUGCGGAAGAGAUAAGUGCUGA